UGAUUAAAAGUGAGUUGUGGAAGGUUUUCGAGAGCUAAAGAAUUGAAUUCUGCAAAACUGCAGAUUUUCAGCUCUCGGGGACCGGUCCCUGAAGGGAGAGACCGGUCCCCGAACGCGUGCAGAAUGAGACAGCCGAAAAAUCGGCUAAGUCCUGGAAGAUCAGCUCUCGGGAACCGGUCUCUGUCUGAGAGACCGGUCCCCCAGAGACCGGUCCCACAAGGAGAGACCGGUUGCACUGCGCGCAGCAGCUCUGGCUGCGCAGGGUGGACGUUCGGGAACCGGUCCCUGCUCGGGGAGACCGGUCUCUGCCUGCGCGAACUGCCCAGUUCGGGCAGUGUAUUAAAGUGAAAGUUGAGGGGUUUAUUUGCAUUUUGGCAACCCAUUGAGUAUAGUAUUGGGGUAAAUGAGAUUUUCUCUCAUUUUCACCCCUCUCACACUCUCUUCUCUCCCUCUCUCUCUCUAGAAGACAAAAGAGAAGAAGAAGAAAGGAAGAAAAGAAGGAAAAGAAGAGGAAGAAAGUGGAGAAGAAGAAGAAGAAGUGAAGAAACUCCUUCUCCUUCAUCUCUAGCUUGAAGAAAGGGAAGCUUAUAAGGUAAGCUUCAAACCCUAAUGUAGUAAAACCCUAGAAAUGGGUUUGAAUGAACCUAAGGUUGGUUUUUAAUGGAAUAUAUAGUAGUUUUGAAGCUUUCUUUUGCUUCUAAAGAGAUCAAAACCUAGUUUUGAUACAUAGGUGAGCUUGGACCACCUCUAAUGGUGAAAUCCAAACUAGGGUUUUGGAAAGCCUAAGAAUGGUUCUAAUGGACUAAUUAGAGUAUAAUGAAGCUACUUUUGCUUCCCAAUGAGAUCAAACCCUAGGUUUUGAUAUACAUUGGAGCUAGGGCACCCAAAUUGGGGCUUUUGCUCAUAAGGGUUUCUAAGUGCAAUUGACCCUCUAAAAACCUAAUUGGGGAUAUUCCCGACGCGUUGGUGCGCUCGGAAAAGCGUUUCGAAAAGUCAAAGUAAAGUUAUGAGCAAAAUGGCCUAAUAAGGGUUCGUUUUGCCGCAGGUAAAGAACGAGAGGUCUAAAAAUCCCAAGAAAAUCCUCGGAGCACCUAAAUAGACCUACAAGGUGGGUGGUGCUUUCCAAACUCAUUGAAAUUCUCUCUAUGCCUAAUGUGUCAUUCCUUGAGCAUAUGUACUAUAUAUUGUUGCAUGCAUUUUAGGGUAAAGUAAUGAUGAACUGUGAUGAUUGCAUGAUUGUGAGCACAACUUGCAUGAUGAGAUGGUUGAGAACCUAAUAAUGUCAAAACCCUAGAUGUAUGCAUGAGAGGAAAUGUGAGCACCCAAAGUGAGCAAAAGAACAGAGUGGCACAAUGACAUAGACCGAGUGGCAUUUGAAAAUGUGAAGUAAAGAGACACUAGAGUUAGUGUGAUGCAAAGAUACAAGGUAAUGUAAAGAAUGAUGAAAAUGACAAUGUCUAAAGUUAAAGUAAUGUGGGGAAUAAAGAAUAUAAUGGCUAGAGUUAGCAAAAGUAAAAGAAACGUAAAGAAUGUGAUUGCAUGAGUUUGCAACAUAAAGUGAUGUAAAGAACACUAGAGCUAGUGUAAAGUCAAGAUUGAACUUAUAAAUCCUUUGAGUUAAGGAUUCGAUCAUACUUGCUAUGAGUUCCGUGCUCGAGGGCGGUCGCUCCCCCUCGGGCGAUGCGCUCCGGAGUUAUGCAUCCGGGUUGGAGUAGACCCGAAAGGACGGUCCUAGCUGGUGAGUUCCUGCGAUGAUGGACUUAAUGUGAAGCAAGUUAAUGUGGCGAAACCCCCGGGUUAGCCUUGAGAUUAAAGAACAAAGAGCAAGGAACAAAGUACAAAGAACAAGAACAAAGAGUAAUGUGAAAAGAAUAAAGAAUUUGCAUAAUCUGCAUAUAUUUAAUGUUGAGCAUAUUUCUUGCUAUUUGUUCAGGCAUAUUAGCAUCAUGUUAUAGAACGGUUACUAUCUUACUUAUCUUUCUAUUAUGCCUGAGUUAGUCCUAGUGGGAAAGUCGGUGAUGUUGGGGCCGAACCCACUGGGAACUUUGUUGUAGUUCUCACCCCACUAUUUCCACAGAGCCGGGACCGAGCGAGCCGACGAGCGACCGCGGUAAAGGUAUCGCGCCUUAGACAGAGGCCACCAAUGUCGGAUUUCAUUUUGUAGUAAAGUACCUUAUGAUCAUCUUUUGUAUUUGAUGAUUAGUAGUGUAAAGAAAGGAAUGUAAAGCUUAUUUUGAGGAAAAUGUGAUGUAAGAAAGAAAUGAUGAAAUUUUGUAUUGGAAUGCAAAGAAUUCAAAAUUACUAGAUGAAUGCAAUGUAUAUGAUCCAAAAUGAAUCAUGUUACUUGUGAGUGUUUAGUUUCCUUUUUCUUUCACUAAUGGCUGUUGCUUACCCUCGAGUAAGCCGUUUGUGUAUGUUUCCGCUAGUGCACUUCUUAUUGAAAAUGUACAUGUGAUGAGCCUUGGGCGGAUAGGGGAAACUCUGUCCGUUCGGCGUCUGUUUGACGUGCUCGGGUCGGGCCAAAUUGGCAUCGGUCCCGGGGCGUGACAUUUCAUACCUAUCCACACCACUNUGAAAUGUAAGAAAUUCGAAAAUGAACCGGAUGAAUGUAUGUAUAUGAUAAAAAAUGAAUCAUAGCACAAGUGAAUGUUUAGUUUCCUUGUUCUUUCACUAAUGGCUAUUGCUUACCCUCGUGUAAGCCGUUUGUGUAUGUUUCCGCUAGUGCUUUUCUCUAUUGAUGAAAAUGUACAUGUGAUGAGCCUUGGGCGGAUAGGGGAAACUCUGUCCGUUCGGCGUCUGUUUGACGUGCUCGGGUCGGGCCGAAUUGGCAUCGGUCCCGGGGCGUGACACUAAUUAGAGUGUCUUUACAAUUAAAUUUGAUGAUUACAAAUAAUAAUAAAAUUUGGGCUAAUAUUUUAUUUUGAGUUUGUAUUUAGACCUCUUAUGUCACGCCCCGAGGCCGCCAAUUUGGUCGAUUCGGGCACGCCGAUAGACGCCGAACGGACAGCACCUCCCCUGUCCGCCCAAGGCUACAACAACAUGUAUAAUACAAACAAUUCAAUACAGGAUGAAUGCAAUUAUACAAGGUUUGCACGAGGACAAACAACAACUAAUUCACAUGUGAAAGCAUUGAAACUAACUAAACAUUUAUCCCCAUACAUGUUAUUUGAUUACAUUUGAAUCAAACACAAUAAACUAUUAUUUACAUUUAUUCUUUCCAUUCAUUUACAUCACAUUGUCCUUUAACCCAAAAUAAAAGGUUUACAUCAUUUCACAAUCUAGUUCAACAUACAAAAGUUGAAGCUAUUACAUAUAGGGUAUGCCUAUACUCCGAGGGCCGCUAUCUAUGGCGCGAUACCCUUGCCUCGAUCCUCUGCCGCCCCGCUCGCGCACUGAUCUGCAGGGUUAGUGGUGGUAUGAGAACUAAACAAAGUUCCCAGUGGGUUCGGCCGCCGACUGCGCCGAAUCGCCCACUAGGUCUAUUCAGGCAUAUGUAUUUCAAUAAGGAUAGAUAUUCAAACCAGCUAAUGUAACUAAUACAAUGCCUGCAAGAAAGUAGUCAGCAGAUAGAUAAUUCAUAAUCAUGAUAAUUAUGCAUGCAUGUUCUCGUCCUCAUUUUUUCUGGCUUUUACUCAAUUUUCCUCGGGUACUCUUGGUUCACCCCAAACGCACAAACCACAAUUCCCGUCUACCGGGGGAGGCUACUAGCACUACCAACCGAGGGAACGAUGACAGGGCCGCUCCCCGUGGUGUCUACACUCCGGAGUACACAACUUGAGGAGGAGCUACCUUCCUCAAGCCAAAAGUAAUGUGAGUACGAUUCAAUCCUCAAUUUGAGGAAGAAUUGCCAAACCCGUCUCAAUGCACAAAGCCUCGAUGCCUAUGAUAGGUUAUUAUCAUAUCACAUUUCCAUUAUACCUGAGCCAUAAUGGUCCUGAUGCCAUAAUAAGCUAAACCUUGUUUAGUCAUUUACAUUCUCGGUGCCAAUCUGGUCACUAAUGUUAAUGUCACCUUUGUUUACUAUUGUCGUAGUCUGUUCUUGCAUUCACUUACACAUAGGGUUCUUUCAUACAUAGUUCACGUGGUUCUUUAUCAUUUCACAUAUUCUUUAAGCAUCUAAAUGCAAUUCAACAAAGAACACAUAUCACACUACCCUAUAUGCCUGAAUGCUGACGCUAAUAUGCUCAAAGAAGGUAACAUAGACAUAGAGAGAAAUCCGGUGUUUCCGGACAGCACCCCCCACCUGUGGGUAUGCUAGGAUGCCGUGGUCCAGUUUUCGUGAUUUUUAGAGUUCUACGCCGCAAGUUGCGACGAUCUGUACCAAUUUAGCCCGUUUCUUCAAUUUCUCUGGCACGCUCGUCGCAUCGCCGAACCGAGCGCACCAACGCUUUCGUUGACCUACCAAUUAGGUUAAAAAGAGAUCAAUCCCAAGAUUAAACCUCAAAAUCUCAAAACCCUAACUUUAGGUCCUUGUACAAUAUCAUCUUCCCCAAUAUUGGUCCCUCACAUGAAUAACAUGGGGAAAAAUCCUCUAUACAUCUCCUAGAAGCAUGCUAGAAGGAAAACAAACCCAAACCUAGCUUAAAACCAAGAAAUCUCACCUUUUAGUUCAAGCUUUUCCUUGUAUACUUGCACAAUAGCAAGCAACACCUUCAACUUUGCCUUCUUCUUCACCCAAGCUCCUCCAAAGCUCUCCUUGUCCAAGCUCUAGAGAGAGAGGAAGAGAGAGGAGAAGGGUUUUUAGAGAGAGAGAGGAAGGGAUAUUUGUUGUGGGUGAGAAAUGAGCCCUAAUACAUAAGCCUCUCAUCUAUACACCCAUCUCAUGUGACAUUUGCACCUUAGCGUCUCAAUUUUCUAUUUUUCCAAUCAGCUCUCACUGGGCAUUUUUCGUAUACGGGUACCGGUCUCUCUCCACAGCGACCGGUCCCCGAGAGCACCACUCUCAAGACUUAGCCAAAUUUACACAUUUUUGGCUGGCUACGCGUACGGGGACCGGUCUCUCCUCCAGGGACAGGUUCCUGAGAGCACGAUUUCCAAAACUUAGCCGCUGGGCAAUUUUCCAACCUACGAGGACCGGUCUCUCCGCUCAGGGAUCGGUCCCCGAGAGCUAAAAUUUUGGGACUUAGCCAUUUUCCUAGAUUUCACUCUCCCAGGUCCCUUUACAUCAUACCAAGGUUCCAAAACACUUAGAACCCAUUCCAACUCGUUCCACUCCGCGCUCCGUUUGUUUCAACAGAACUCGGCAUGAUUUACGGGGAAGCGAUACGUUACAUUCCCCACCCCUUAAAAAUAGUUUUGUCCGCGAAACUCAACACGUACCUUAGUUCAUUUGCUCGAAUAAGUGAGGAUAGACCUCGCGCAUCUUCUCCUCAAGCUCCUACGUGGAUUCACGCCUUGAGUGAUUACUCCAUUGCACUUUUACAUACGGAGUAGUCCGAUUCCGCAGCUUCCGCUCCUCUCGAGCAAGAAUGCUCACCGGAAACUCUUCAUAAGUGACAUCCUCGUGCAACUCCACCGGCUCAUACUCCAACACAUGUGAGGAGUUUCGAAAAUACUUGCGGAGAUUCGAUACGUGAAACACGUUGUGCACUCCCGCAAGCUUUGGCGGUAAUGCUAACUUGUACGCCACCGGCCCAAUCCGCUCAAGGACCUCAUAAGGGCCAAUAUAUCGGGGACUAAGCUUCCCCCGAAUGCCGAACCACUUCACCCCGCGCAUUGGCGACACUUUGAGAAACACACGGUCGCCAACCGCAAAUUCCAAAUCCUUUCGGCGCUUGUUCGCAUAGCUUCGUUGCCGCGAUUGUGCCGUCAACAAUUGUUAGUGAGCAAGACGGACUUUCUCUUCUGCCGCUCGCAUCACAUCCGGACCAAGGGCGACUCUUUCACCCACCUCGCUCCAAUGGAUAGGAGAGCGACACUUACCCUCAAACGGUGCCAUCGCUAUACUUUCUUGAUAACUAUUAUUGUAAGCGAACUCCGCCAUCGGCAAAUACUCAUGCCACCCUCCACUGUAAUCGAGUACACACGCUCGCAACAUAUCCUCGAGUNCUUGAUAACUAUUAUUGUAAGCGAACUCCGCCAUCGGCAAAUACUCAUGCCACCCUCCACUGUAAUCGAGUACACACGCUCGCAACAUAUCCUCGAGUGUCACGCCCCAAUCCCCGCCAAUUUGGUCGGGUUCGGGUCGUGUCAACAGACGCCGAAUGGACAGAGCCUCCUCCGUCCGCUCAAGGCUCUAACAACAAGUAUAGAUAGGCAAUCAACAAGCGAAUUGCAUAUGUAAUACAAGGCUUGCAUGAGGGCAAGCAACAACGGAAGCGAAAGCUCUAAGCUAAAUAUACAACACACAUGAUAUUUGAUUAAAUUUAAACCAAAUACAAGUAAAUCUAUUACAUUCUUGCAUCAUAUCUUUUUACAUUUAGUCAUCCACCAAAUACAUGAUUGUUUACACUUAUCAUUCCUAAAUCAAUAGAAUAAAGUUGGUACAUGUAUAACAAAAGGGAAUGACUACAAAAUGUAUAAAGUCCCGGUGGCCGCUACCUACGGCGCCAAACCCUUGCCUCGGUCCUCCGCCGCCCCGCUCGUACUAGGACCUGUAGGGUUAGUGGUGUGAGAAACUAAACAAAGUUCCCAGUGGGCUCGGCAUCCGACCUCGCCGACUUACCCACUAGGUCCAUCCAGGCAUAAGUAUUUCAAAGGAGGAAAAGUAACCACUACUAAUGCGACUAAUACUAUGCCUGCAAGAAAGAAGUCAGUAGAUAUAUAUAAUUCAAUGCGAUAAUGGAAAUGCAUGCAUGCUCCAAUCAUAAUCAAGCUUUGGCUCUUACCCAAUCUUGCCGGUUAACUCUGUUAACCCUAAUAACUCACAACCCAAAAUCCCUUAAUAACGGGGGACUCGAACCUCCCUAGGGACCGUCAACUGGUGGGACUUUACCUCGCCCAGUGGUGACCAACUCCGGAGCGCACCGCUCGAGGGGGAGCGACUUCCCUCUAGCCAAGACGUAAUAUGAGUAUCGAUCUAAUCCCCAACUUGAGGAUUCAUAGCCACUGGUCACAAUGCCGAUGUCAUGAUAGGUCUCUACCUAUUCAUUCUUGUCACUCUCAAGGCCACACCCAUGAUGAUGCCAUAAUUUGGUUAAACUAUAUUUAACGGUUUAUCUCUCAAUGCCAAUCUUGUUUCUAUGUCAAUGUCACCCUUGUUUUCUAUUGUCCAAGUCCAACCUCACAUUCACACAACUUGAGGGUCCAAUCACACAUGUCCAUUUAGUCUAUCGUCAAUAUGUUCAACUAAGUAGAACAAUAAAUGAAGUCAAACCAAGUUCCACAUGUAUCUACCCUACUAUGCCUGAUGGUAAUAUAUACUAUAUAUAUAUAUAAUGACUCAAGAAAUAGAGAAACAGACAAUAAAGCGGAUCCAAUAAACGAUUCCGGUGCACCUCCCACCUCUAUUUGUGUGUGGGCGUUCAGUUUUUAAUUCGAAGGCUCCGCAACUUACGAAAGCCGAUUCGCCCCUAUAAUCAAAAAAUAGCGUCAUCAUAGGUCCCCUUGUCUAUGAGCUAUAACUCUAACAUUUUCGCUGAACUUAAACGAUUGCUAACGUGUUAAGACACCCGCCAAUCAGCAUACCAGAUUUUUAAUUAUAGUGAUAUAAAAUAAAAACUAGUGUGAGAUAACCUAUUUUAUUGGAUUUUAGACAAGUAGAUUAUAUUCGGCGAUUGACUCGUGUGAAAAUCGGAGUGAAAAAUAGAAUUGAGAAUUUUUCUUAGAUUAGACGGCUGAUAUUUAGCAGAAAAUGCCACAGUGUCAGAAAAUCCGAAAAUUUGAAAUAUUUAGGAUUAAUUUCUAUAGCUAGAUUUAAAGAUUUCAUGCAUUCUGACAGGCGUCAGGUGAAACUAAAACUCCGACGUUAAUUCUGAUAAAUAUACAGUUCGCUAAAGCUAUGCGAACCAAACGGGGUCAAACUGACAGAUAAAAUUUUCUUCAUUUAAGAUAAGGUAAAAACGAUCAUGACUGCCAAUUUGAGCUCAAUCGACCGUGUCUUAGGUAUACGAAAAUAUCUAGUACCGAGGCUACAAUCUGAUGGUGAUAGUGUUUGGGAAGUAUAAAAUGUGAACUUGCACUCUUUAUCUCAAUUUGUGCCCAAUGCCCGAGUAGAGACUUGGAGAGCAAAAUUUCUUUUCUCCUUUUCUCUCUUUCUCUUUAGUUCUCACACUCAUCCUUUAAUUCUUCUAACUCUCCACAAAAAAAUAUAUUGGAGAAGAAGUUUGGAGACGAAUCCUCGAAAGUUUGGAAGUAGCUUGGAGCAAUGCUUAUCACUCUGCCUCUCUAUAGAGAAGCUUUGGGAGUAAUCUUUGGUAAGUAACUAGUAGAUGGCUAAUGAGAAUGAUUCGUCAUGCUCUAGAAUGUUUAGAGAACUCCCUAGAUGCUAAUAAACAUGUUAAUUUCAUGAUCAAGUUCAAUUUUGUGAUCUCUUGGCAAUCAGUAGCAUGUUUUAAGCUCAAUUGAUUCUUAGCAAUAUUAGUAGAGUUUAUUCUAAAUUGCGCAUUAGUAUAAACCUAAUGCCUAAUUUUUCUGAAGCUUGGCGAAGUCUUCGACGAUAUCGAUCGAGGCUCACGCAAAUAUUGAAGAAAAGGCCGAUUUCGGUACAUGAUGCCGCAGCUCGCGACGUAACUUCCGAAAAAACACGAAACCCAGAAUUGUACAUCGUGACUCACCUAAAUCUUGGAGCUAUGAAUAGUCCAGGCAUGGCGAAGGGUCGUGUGUCUCUGUGGGUUGACCUCUCUAACAAAUGAGAAAAUCGUCAUUUAUGUGGCAUUUAAUUAAAUCGUAAAACGAAAAUCACGCAUUUUUCAUGAAAGAUGAUUAUUUGUCGAAUUUUAGAAAAUGCUUGAAAUGCUUAUUUAUAGUAAUCAUCAUUUUCGGAUCCAUCUAGUAAUAGAAGCUUGCAAGGAGCCUUUUAAGCAUGUGUUUAGCAUUAUAUGGCUUGGAAUCACUCUCUCAUAAUAGUAACAUGACAUAAUGUAAUAUGUCUUGACAUAAAAUCUCAUUGGACUCUGACAUCAUUAGGCCAUAAAGCGGCUUUGGGACUUGAAUAACUUGUGAGUUAGGAGCUAAUUCGUAAUCCGACAUCGGGCCUUGAAGCUUGAAUGAUCUAUCUACAAGUAAUUCAUAAAGAGCAUUAGACUUGAAUGAUAUGUAAUUGUAUUGUGCUAUUAAAUUAUUAGUAAUUAUGCUAAGUUGUAGUUGUAAGGUAGAGUUUAGCAUGUAGCAUUAUGAAAACUAUGCUAAGUUGAUAGUUGCUACGGACGCCUUUGAAACCAUAUGCUAGUGAUAAGAGCAUAUUAAUAUUUAUAUGCAUUGGGGAAUACAUGCUAGAUUAAUAUUAGCAAUAUGAAUCUGAUGCCUAGAGAGCUGCUUAUAAACUAUUUAUUAAGUAUAUCUUAAGCUAAUGUCAUAAGCGACAUUGAACUUGGACAUAGUAUGAACCUUAGUAAGCUAAUGUCAAUAAACGAUACCCUUGGGCUUGGAAUGGUGAUACUAAUGCCGUAAAGGGCAUUACGACUUGAAUACGUAUGGACUUAGUAAUGCUAAGGUCACAAUAGGACAUUGGAUAUCAUUGACAUGUAAACCUUCACUUGAGGGCAUAGACUAGACCUAUUGGGUUGCUAGUGAUAAUUCAUAUUUUCGACCAUGAGACCUUAUCUUCAACAGUCGUGUUCUCACGCCAGACAUGCCUUCGGUGGUCGCUCAUACCAGAACACUUCGAUUUUUUUUUUUUUGGGUCUCAUCGCAGAACAGCUCGUUGGUUCUCAUACCAGAACAGCCAUCGUGGUUCAUUACGCAGAGCAGCCUCGGUGGUCUCACCCAAGACAGCCUUCCCGGUGUCCUCAUACCAGGACGCUCUCGUGGGUCUGCUACAUCCCAGACAUCUUCGGUGGUCUUAUCAGAGUUGAACUUUUAAAAUAAAGCUGCCUAUGUGACAUUGACGUAGAACAUGUAAACAAUAAUGAUAAACACUAUUUGAUGGUAUCAUCGGUUCCGUCUGUUGACAUUCGGGAAUUGUGGUAAAAAAAACUCUAAUUAUCCUACGAAGUAUCCUUCGUAUUGUAUUACUUGUUCAUCACAGGCUUUUGUACCAGUGCGCAUAUCUGUUAUGCAUCGCAUAAUUGGAUUUCAUGAUAGAUAGAUGUACUCCAAACGUUCAUAUCAGUAUAUUGUGCAUAGUAGAAUAGAUUUCAUAUAUGCAUUAUAUUUCCGCAGUGUUAUUUCUUAUCUAUAUCUUGCUCUUGACUUGGGCCUAGUGGGUGCAUUUUGCUAGUCAGUAAAUUGCCGUACUGGGAACUAUAAAUUAAUAGUUCUCUUACGCCCUUUUUUAUGUUCUUUCAAAGCCUUUCACUCAGAGAGCUCAGAUACGCGGAAAGAACGCCUCGUGCUAGCUAGCGAGGAUUAUUGAUAGGUGUCCCACUCUCUUUUUGUUUCUUUUGUAAGGUUGAGAGAUUUGUACCAUUUGUAGAGACCGACCGACCCUUUUGUAACUUUGGAUGGAUAUCAUGUUAAAUUUAUGCUUUACUUUUAUUGUUAUUUGUUCUAUCUACUAUAGAUUAUAGAUUUAUAAUGCUGCUGAUAUUCCUAAUGUAGUUCUCAACUCUUAUCUUAUUCUUUCCGCUUGUUGGUAACGCUAUAUGUGUAGCAUAUCAUGCGGUCUGUGGCACCGCACCGGCAGUGCUCUCCGCGGGUCCCGGGCGUGACACCCAUUAGGCUUUCCAUCGGGUCAAUUGUCCCAAACUCUAGGCAAAAGCCCCAAAUUCAACCCUAAUAUUGUCAUUAGGGUUUUCCCAUGAAUCGAUUCGCAAACCUUAACAAACAUAGCUAGGAUCACCUAAAAAGCACUCUAGUAAGGUUUCUAGACCUUUGGUACCAACCCUAGGGCUCCAAACACCACUUCCAAGGAUUCACCAUGAGAGCACUUUGAGCUCUCAUGGGAACCAUGGUGUACAUGGCUCAAAAGAGCCUUUAAAGCCUCUAGGGAGCACAAAGCUCCCAUUUUCUAAGCCAAAAUCCAAACCCUAAGCUCAUUUCUACUAAAUACUCACCUUAGCCCAAGCUCCUCCAAGUCCUUCUUGUAGGAGAGCUUGUAGAACCCAUCAAAGCCUUCAAAUCUACCUUCCCUUACUUCUUCUUCUUCUUCUCCAAGCCCUAGAGCAAGAGUUCUAGAGAGAGAAAGAGAGGAAAUGUGAGAGAAGGGUGAAAAUGGCUGUGGGAGAGAGAGGGGUGUCUAUAUAUAGUGUUGUAACAAUUACAUUUAAGCCCCUCCACUUGUUUCCCCUGAUCUGCCGAGACUGGGCAUCUUUCGCCUUCGGGGACCGGUCUCCCCGACCAGGGACCGAUUCCCGAACGGGGGUUUUUCAGGACUUAGCCAAAUUUUCGAGUUUUUCAGCUGUUGCGCAACGAGGGAUCGGUCUGCCCGUCAAGGACCGGUCUCCCGAGGACCGGUCUCACCACUAAGGACCGGAUGCCUCAGGAUUUCCUAGCAGGCUACGCGCACGGGGACCGGUCUCUCCUUCAGGGACCGGUCCCCGAGAGCUCAAAAUCUCGGACUUAGCCAGAUUUUCAGAUUUGCUCUCCGGGUCCCUUUUUGCUCCGUUUAUAAACUCUAAUGCACUUAGGGUCCACUCUAACUCGUUCAAUUUCGCGUUCCGCUCGUUUUGACGGAACUCGGUACGAUUUACGAGGGAUGUGGUAUGUUACGUCGAGUAUUUGAAUUGACCUCUCUGACUGGCCAUCACUCUGCGCAUGAAACGCCGUACUGAAAUCGAGCCGCGUGCCUAUAGCAUCCUGCAAGCUCUUUCAGAAAUCAGAAGUGAACCGGGGAUCUCGAUCUGAUACAAUCGAUAAUGGAACCCCAUGCAAUCUCACUACCUCAUCCAAGUAGACUUGUGCUAACUUUUCUCCGGACCAUGUGGUGUGGAUCGGCAAGAAAUGAGCCGACUUUGUCAAACGGUCCACAACCACCCAUAUGGCAUUAUGUCCAGCUUGCGAUCGGGGUAGUCCGACCAUAAAGUCCAUCGUUGUGUCUAUUUCCACAUGGGGAUUGGUAAGCUCUGCAACUUCCCCGCGGAAAAUCGACGCUCGACCUUCACUUGUUGGCACGUCAAACACUGCACCACGAACUCCCCAAUGUCUCUUUUCAUGCCCGGCCACGAAUAAUGCAAUUUUUAGGUCUUUGUACAUCUUUGUGCCGCCCGGGUGAAUACUAUGCGGGGAAUGAUGCGCCUCUUGCAAUACCAUCUUACGGAUUUCAUCAUCUUUGGGUACACACAACCGGUUUCUGAACCGAAGUGCAUCGUCGGAUCCCACGCCGAAGUCACCGGCGCGUCCGCCCUUAAUGUCUGUCACGCCCCGGGACCUAGCGGAAGCCCGCCCGGCGCGUGUCCAGACCCGCCAUAUGUCUAAAACAUAUAAGGCGUCUAAAACAAAACGAUAAAUGAAGCAGUAAAAAGAGAACAUCUAGGAGUAUCAGAGCAAGUAUAUCUAGAUGCUACAAUAGAGAAAAAAAACUAUAAAACUAAAAUCCACUAGAUGAAAACAUAAAGUAGUACAAGAAGAAUCCCGAAAUAAGUGCUAUAAGUAAAUACAUAGGUGGUCUCUAUACAUGGAUACAAAACCUCUCUCUCUCUCGACAACAACAAAAAGAGAGAAAACUACCUAGGCAACAGUAAAUCCUCGCUAUCUAGCUAGCGAUCCCCUUACCGCGAUUCCGUGCCUCCGCCGGUGCAGAGGGUUCUGAAAAGGAAACAUAGAAACAGGGGCGUGAGAACUAUUAAAUAAUAGUUCCCAGUGGGCAAUUACUAACUUCAGUGAAAGCACCACUAGGCCCAAAAGAGCUAAACAGGUAAGUAACAAUAAAAGCGAUAGAAUCGAUAUGUAAGUAAACAUGUAAACUUACUACAACAUGAUAUCUUUAUUUAGCAUGAAUUUGCAUAAGUAAUAGAGGACUAUUCUAACAUAAAUGUACCCAAGUAUCACUGGCAUGAUGUCCACAAGCUAAAUAGUAAAAUGUUUUGUUUACUAUUCUAGUCAAUGUCCAGUCGAUAUGCUAAGUCAUCGGAGUGCCGGCUUGUAAGGAGCGACCCUCACAAGCAUGUGCGAAUGAGCACAAUGGCAAGCAAGCAAAAGAUCUGUCUCAAGUAUCAAGUCCUUAUGUCUAAAAAUAUGGAAUAUACGUCGAAUGUCUCAAAGGCCUAUCUCUAUGUCAUCAUGUCUCUAACAUGGAAUAUAGCAGAUGUUCAAUGGCCUAUCACUAUGUCUCUAUGUUGCAGUUUCACAGUUUACUAUGUCAAGUGCCUCUUUAUGGCAUUUUUGUCNUCCACUAAGUCCAAACAUGAGUUUAUUGUUUACAAAUGCAUAAUUUGAGCAAAUUCUAACAUAAGAGACAUGUUUCCGAGUCGCUAACACGAACACUUCUCAUGUACAUGCAAAAUGCCAGAAUGCCUUACUAUAUAGAGUGAAAUUUUCAUGAUACAUAAGGCAUGCAUUUUAAGUGUUCUAAAAUUCACAUAAAUCCCAUUUAACAUGAAUAUGAAAUCAAAUUGACGUUACGACAAGUAUAGAAUACUUAGGGGCUAUUUCGCCCCGAUUUCAUGAAAUCAAACCCACCGAAGUUACCGAAACCCUUCGUAAGCUCCGACGAAGGUGUCCACCAGUCUCCUAGUACCCUAAAGGUAUAGAAAAGAGAGUCAAACGAACCUUACGAACAUCCAAGUGAUCGAUCAUUAACCAUCUCAAGCUAAGGUAGAGAAACUCACCUCAAGUGAAGAAAUCCUUUCUCAAGCUCUAAAUGGGAGUUAGAGUUCUUCAAAUCCAACGUAAAGAAAGGUUCUAAGCCCAUCAAUUAGGUUUCAAAGCCCUCAAAUCGAAAAUCCCCAAAAUAAACCCUAAUUCCACAAUCUAGGGUUUCAUCUAGUAAAAUCUAGAAAAUUUGUAUUCUAUGGAGAAUACAAGCUACCAAUCUUAAGAUAAGCUCCAACCGAAGCUCUAAACCAAGUAGGGUUGAAGUUUGAUCCUCCACAAAGCUUCAACCUCGAGCUCCAAGCCACCAAUGUGUGAUGAGAGGAAGAAGAUGAUGCUCCAAGGCCUCCAAGUAAGCUCCUAUCCUCUCCUUCAUCUUCUUCUCCUUCUCUUUCUCUCUCUAGUGUGGGUGUGAGGGAGAGAAAUGAGAGUGAGAGUGAGAGUAAGAGAGAGGACCAUAUAAGCCAUCCCAAGUAACAAAAUCCACUUAGGUCCCUCAACAAUCAACACUGUGCACAGCCCGGUCUGGGCAGUUUUCGGACUGAGGGACCGGUCUCCCCGACCUGGGACCGGUCUCUCAGCCUGCCUUGAAAAUCCAACGUUCGGGAACCGGUCUCUCCCCGCAUGGGACUGGUCUCUCCUCGCGUAGUCGUGCUCGGGGACCGAUCUCAUCCUUUAGGGACCUGUUGCCUCGCUGGCUGCCGCAACACUGUUCUGAGGGGACCGGUCUCUUCUAUCAGGGACCGAUUCCCGAGAGUGAAAACUCUCCGGACAAUGCCAAAACUCCAGGAAUCGAAUUUUUAGGUCGGAAUACCAUCUACGACCUUCCACCAAGUGUGGAAAAGUUCGGAAUCCAUAUCAAAUACUCGAAUCUCGCAAUUCGCAAAGGUCCAGUGUGCUACAAUGUCAUUCCGCACCUUUUGAAGAUACAGAUCAUCAACUUGCCGCUCCUUAAUCCGCUCCAAUACGGUCGGUCAAACCACUAGUGCCGCCAAAAUGGUCGGAACCUCCGGCGCCACUACUUCCAAUCUGAACCGUUGCAUUUCUUUCUGCAACAACGGUUGACUAGUAACUGUCGUCGCUAAGUUCUCAACAGAUUUUCUACUUAGCGCAUCGGGAACGACAUUAGCUUUUCCGGGGUGGUGUAGGAUAGUAAGGUCAUAAUCCUUCAACAGCUCCAACUACCGCCGUUGCAACAUGUUUAACUCUUUCUAGAUGAACAAAUACUUGAGGCUCCUGUGAUCGGUAUAUACCUCACAAUGCUCGUUCAUUAACCUCAUUUACUUGUUCAUUAAUCUCAUGGCUUACCCGAAGGCUCGCCUACAGCUCACUAGCCAUCUCGACACGUAGGNNNNNNNNNNNNNNNNNNNNNNNNNNNNNNNNNNNNNNNNNNNNNNNNNNNNNNNNNNNNNNNNNNNNNNNNNNNNNNNNNNNNNNNNNNNNNNNNNNNNGGCUCAGGGGUACUUUCAAAUUGAGGGAAUAGACUUUGAAGAAACCUUUGCUCCGGUUGCCCGUCUUGAAUCCAUUCGUAUCCUGUUCGCGAUUGCUUGUCACUUUAAAAUCACGCUCUUUCAAAUGGAUGUCAAAAGUGCGUUUUUAAAUGGAUUUUUAAAAGAGGAAGUUUAUGUUGAACAACCGAAAGGUUUUAUAGACUCAAAAUUUCCAAAUCACGUUUUUCGACUGAAAAAGGCACUUUAUGGACUAAAACAAGCUCCGCGAGCAUGGUACGAACGCUUGACAAAAUAUCUUUUGGAAAAGGGCUAUAACCGAGGGGGAGCAGAUAGAACUCUUUUUGUGAAACACCUGAAGGAUAAUUUCAUUGUAGCACAAAUAUAUGUGGAUGACAUAGUUUUUGGGGCUACUAAAGAUAAGGAUGCCGCUGAUUUUGCAAAGUUAAUGACCAGUGAGUUUGAGAUGUCAAUGAUGGGGGAGCUUAAUUAUUUCCUCGGGCUUCAAGUCAAACAAUCAAAAGAUGGAAUUCAUUUGUCACAGACAAAGUAUGCGAAGGAACUAGUUAAGAAAUUCGGAUUAGAAAGUGCAAAGGAUUUUGACACUCCCAUGGGUACAAGCAACAAAGGACUGGGAUUAAAUUCAGAAGGUCAGAAUAUAGAUGAGAAACAAUACAGAAGCAUGAUUGGUAGCCUUUUGUAUCUGACUGCGAGCAGACCUGACAUUGCGUUUAGUGUUGGAAUAUGUGCUCGUUAUCAGGCUAAUCCUAAGGAAGUACAUCUGAAAGCAGUUAAAAGGAUUAUUCGGUAUGUUAAAGGAACAACCGAGUAUGGACUAUGGUAUCCUAUGGGAACGUCUCUUGACCUAAUCGGCUACUCGGAUGCUGACUGGGCAGGCUCCGCAGAUGAUCGGAAAAGUACUAGUGGAGCUUGUUUUGACAUUGGACAUUGUUUGGUCGCUUGGCACAGUAAGAAGCAAAAUUGCAUUGCUCUUUCCACUGCAGAAGCUGAAUACAUUGCAGCUGGAAGUUGCUCUACUCAAUUAAUUUGGAUGAAAAGCUUACUAAGCGACUAUCGGAUUCCUUCUACCACUCUGACUAUUCUGUGUGACAAUACGAGUGCAAUUAAUAUUUCUAAAAACCCUGUUUUACAUUCUCGAACAAAACAUAUUGAACUAAGAUAUCAUUUUUUAAUAGAACUUGUAGAAUCAAACGUUUUACAACUUGAAUACAUUUCAGCUGAAAAUCAACUUGCAGAUAUUUUAACCAAACCUUUGGAUCAAAAACGUUUUCUGCAUUUGAGAAAGGCAAUUGGUAUGAACCCAUCAAUCUAGAUAUAUUCUAUUGAGCCACAGAUCAUGUGCAUGUUGCAUAUUUUUUCUUUUCUUGCAUGCUUUUCGGUGUUUAUGAUUUGUUUGAUUUUCUUGCUUGAUGUUGCCGUUUCGGGAAAUGAGUUGAUCUGUGAAUUUAAGUAUUUCAUAUUUAAGUUUUGAUUGAUCAAUGUCAGGGUUAUUCUCUAUUGACAUAUUCUUGAACGAUCAAAUCCUUGAAAUUCUAUUUAACAUAUUAAAUCAAAUUCAGCACCUCAUGCUUCGAACUUUGAAUAUUGCAAUUGUUUGUUUGAUUAUUAGUUUUGAGAUGAAUAAAUCUUUCUCUAUUUUUGAAAUUGCUAAAAUAUUUUUGACUUGAGGGUUGCACUAAUUUAGGGGGAGUCUUGCCGAUUUUAGCUAUGAAAAUUUAUGAAAUUCAAGAUGUGGAAAGAGUUACAUCCCCGCUGGGAGUGUGAAAACUACCACCACAUGGAGGAAAGAGCUACCACCCCGGUCGUCCGGUCAGUGUGUGCAGCUACCACAUGAUGAUCAAUAUAUCUCUAUGAGCUAAAAGCCAAUAACGAAUGAAUCAAAAUGAGAUGUUGUGGAGAUGGUAAAAUUCUAAUACUAUGUUUAAUACAUCUCCUAGGCGAUAUAAGGUGGUUUGUUAAAAGAUGCUCAAAGAGCCACUCUUAUCUCGAAUUAUGUGCAUAACUCAAGUUGAGAAUAUUUUUUUAAUUUCCUGAUUAUGAGAUUUAUUUAUUCAAUUUCUUAACAAAUAUGAUGAUAAAAUGAUGCAAUUUAUCCCUAGAUCUUGCAUGAUGUGUGGAAUUUUAUUUGAUACUUAUCAAGAAUUUUAUUUGAUUUUCGGAUCAACAAUAUUUGACAAAUUGAAUAUCUUUGAGAUUGAUUUUCAAAAUUUAUUUAUGAAAUUUUAUUGGAAGUUUUUGGGGAUGGAUAUUAUGUAUUUUUGCUGUUGGAUAUGUUGAGGAUAUUAUAUAGAAUUUUUGAAAAUUUUGGACGAAAAAUGGAUUUUUCGGUUUUGGCUCUGGGACCGGUCCCAGACUUGGAGAGACCGGUCCCUCCGCCCGGACCGAUAUAAGGGUUUGCGGUCCGGUUUCUUCUCACUUUACCAAACUCGUUCUAACUUCUCCCUAGGGCCUCUAACAUACCUAGGGUGCUUUUGCUUCAAAUCUUCAUCAAUUUACACUUGAUUUUGGUAUGAUUCUCGGAUUUUAUUUCGUUGGUAUCUUAUAAUCCGAAUUUAUGCUUUAUUUUCAAUUUUUGGAGGAUUUGUUCUCAUUAUGUUGUUAGAUCUUUUCUUUUUUGCCCUGAUCUUACCUCUAGACAUGUUAGUCAACAUUUUCCUGCAUUAUUUCAUAUUUUGAUAUAAUUGUUUGGUUGUUUUUGCUAUGUUUUCUUCAUCAAGACCUAAUUUUUUUCAAAUUUUUCGAAAAUUGGGAUUUUACUGAUUUUUGAUGCUUGUUUUGUCCAUGAUUUUCAUGGUUAUGUGGCCCUAGAAUUAUCUAGUACAUUACAUAUCAAUUUUCGAAAGUUUUUUUUAAUUCACAAAUCAAUUGUUUUUAUGUUCAAUAUGUAUAAAUUAUUGUGUUUAUCAGGGGUUUCUUCGAAAAUGUACUCGUGGAUACUUGUUCUUGUGGUUCUUAUGGCUGGAGGUAGUCGUGGCAGUAAGCGACAGCGCUCAAAAGCUAAAAGGCCGAUUGAGUAUCAACCGGAGGAUGAAGAGAGCGAAUAUGCUCCUGGUGAUGAACCUGAGGAGGACGAACCGGAUUGGGAGACUUUUGUUCCCGAGGUAUUGGCUAAGGAUAAGGAUACUGGGAAAGGCAAAGGAAAAGGAAAAGCCGUGGAUAAAGGCAAAGGAAAGGCAACUUAGCGUCCCAGUCGUCGUAAGUCCGGGGGUGUUGAAAUUCGAGAACCAGGCUCUGAACCACCACGUCACAGUCUACAGGAUGUUCCAUCUAAUCGUCGGUCGAUGUACUCGUCGAAACACUGUAUUGGUGAGCGAGAUGUUGGGGUGGCCAGUAUCAUUAGUUGUGUGCCGGGUUUUUAGGAUUUAUUUGAACAGGGGAAUCUUCAUCAGAUUUGUGAUUUUCCGGAGCAAACCGGUUAUUGUUUGGAGUUGAUCAGAGAAUUUUACAUGAGAGCAGGUCACCUCAGUGACUCCGACGGCGGUCCGUACGUGUUUAAGACUUCCGUAUGUGGUGUUGAGUUAUUCAUCACUCCUGAGACAAUAGCUUCGGUGCUAGAGAUGGAAGCAACGACUGACGGAGUGGAGUAUCUUCAGGCUGGAUUCGACUCACUUCGCUUUGGAACCGUGUCGUGAACACUAUUUGUAUGCCGGGUACUGAAUCAAACGGCAUUAUGGUUAUGUCAAAAGAUUUCAAAAUGGAGUACAGGUUUCUGAACUUUGUGGUUUGCUACAACAUCAUGCCUCUCGCGAACACGAAAAUCUUGAGAUGGGAUCGUAUUCUGUACAUGUAUCUCUUGGGUAGGCCGGAUAUUGUAAGUGCCAAAAAUAUUAACAUGAAUAUUCCGUUUCUGAUCUGGCGGAGAAUGGCAAAAGAUAUCAAGACUUCCGGACAAAAUGAGAGGUUACCAUUUCCUUUGAUAAUUAUGAGGAUUUUGCGACUUCGUGAGGUGGAUGUUCGGUGUACAUCAUACGAGCACAGUUUGGGUCGGAUCAAUGAAAGGACGUUUGUAAAGUCCUCGGUGCAGCUUCGUACGCCGUCUCAACGUGCUUCUUCCCCUCCUGCAGCUCCACCUCCUGCUACUGCUACUUCUUCACGUCCUUCUAUGGACAUUUCUGAGGAAGAUAUUUCCGUUUCAUCGGUGUAUCGCGAGCAGCAACGUCUAUCUGAGGAGCUUCAGAAGUUGUCUGCAGAACAAGCUGCGAUUCGUAAGGAUGUGAGCAAGAUGAAGCGCUUGUUGAAUAUGAUUUUUGACAAAUUGGGAUGUUGUCGGGCCGAUUUACCUUCCGGAGAUGAUUCUGACUAGGAUUUACCGACCUUCUCCUUUUGUCGUUUUGGCGCUUUCUGACAAAAAGGGGGAGAUGAUGGGAUGGAUGGAUGGUCUCUUAAUGAUGAUGAUGAUGCAUUUAGCUUAGGGCUUUGCUUAGUUAAGAUGACUUUGUUUUAAUGCUUUAGGUGUUUGGUGUUUUCGUUUAGUUUAACUAUGAACUAUGAAGUGUGAACUUUAGUUGAUUGUUUGAUCUUCUUGAUACUUCUUGAUACUUGAAUCUUGAUUAUGCUUUGAGAAUGUUUUUGCAGGAAUAAUUCAAGACUUCAAGACUCCAUGUCUAAGUCAUAGAGUUUGUAUUAAGGUUGUAAAAGUGUAAAUUUUGUUUAUUGGAUUGAUCAUGCAGGAGAUUAUCGUUUGGUGAUUGCGAUGAUCUUCUUUUUAUGACUUAUUGGUUGUAUACGAGCUUUGUAGUAUAUUUUGUCACGAAAUCGCCAAAGGGGGAGAUUGUUAAGGAUUUUAUAGGUUGGCGAAUUUCGUAAAGUUGUUUGGAGUCUUGAAGAGUUGAUCGCAGAAGAUUUUGAGAAAAGAUUCAAAUUGGAGGACAAAGACUCAUUCGGAAAGAUCGACACCUAAGGUAUGUAGAAAAGAUCAUUUGUGGUGAAGAUACAUGAUUAAAAUAAGUUCAGAAGGCUUAGAUUGUUUUUAAACAAAUUUUCUGAACUUUCUUGUGUUCUGGGACCGGUCUCUGAAAUGGAGAGACCGGUUCCCCCAAGGUCCUCACUGCGUAAACCUUGAUGCAACCGGUCCCCUGUGAUGAGAGACCGGUUCCCGAACCUUGGUGGUUCUGUCGCGCAGCGAGGGACCGGUCUCAAGUUUGAGAGACCGGUUCCCGAACGUUGGGUUUUUGGUCACGCAGAGAGGGACCGGUUCCUCACUUGAGAGACCGGUCUCUCACAGACCGGUCUCCUCGAGAGGACCGGUCUCUGAGGACGACACAGGUUUUUAAAAACGACUUUUUGCAAUCCUAGUCUACUUCUAAGUCUUCUAAACAUAUAAAUAAGCUAUGUGGGUCAUCUAAAAUUAAGGCUUUGAAUAAUUUACCAAUUCCAAACCCUAGAAACUUAUUUCUUCCCGUUUCAAUGCUUAGAUUUACAUGAUGAGUUUCUAGCAAUCAACAUCGGCUUGAUUCUUCGUUUUUACUCGAUACUUCUUACGAGAAUCAAGUAGAUGGUUGAUUAAAGGUGAACCCUCAUAGCUUAUGGUUUUCAAAAGUUAAAUCACCACAAAUCUUCAAUUCUACAAGCUCCGGAAGGAGGUUCGGCGCGUGGAUCUCGCGUGAAGCCGAGGAUUCGGUGGACGCUUCGAGGAGUUGAGGCGUUGACGCUGCGAGGAGUUGCAGCAAGGUCGAUUGGUGGAUUCCUAUCGAUCGAGGACCGGCAAAGAUCACCGUCAACGAGAAAUCGGUAAAUUGAGUCGUGUGUUUUUGUCGAAAUCACUUGUACUCAAGUUUUCUUAGUGGAUUUUCUUUGCGUGAUCGGUCCCGUGGGUUUUUCACUCCGAAUUGGAGUUUUCCCACGUUAAAUUCUCGGUGUGCUGUUUUAAUUUCCGCUACUUUGUUUUAAUUGCAUCAAGACUUUCGAGUUUGCCGGAUUUACACCUAUUCACCCCCCUCUAGGUGUUACUUACCUUUUAGAUCCUCGGGAUCCAUAUCUCACACAAUUGCCUAUUUGCACUGGGCAGUCCAAGCACUCAUCGUAAACGUCGAUCGAGUGCCCGGGAGUGUUCACCGACCAAUACUCCUCAUUAUGAGUGAUCUCUAUAUUAUGAGCUUGUGCAAAUGAUGCUAAUAUGAAUGAAUGAGAUGCACCCGUGUCAAAUAUAGUUCUAGCCCUAGUGCCUUUAAUUAGAAUAAUACCUGCCACGACGUCGUCGGGAACGAUAAUUGGUGGCUCCUCCACCUGAGUGGCAAAUACCUGCCCACUAGGUGCUCGAGAGGCCUCCGGCUGACGAGGUGCCGACGAUCGUCCAGCAGAUGUCGCGGGUGGCAGUCCCGCCAGCUGUCGCUGAGUGUACUGAACUGAAGCUGAUGACGGAGCUGGGGAUGCGCCGCUCCGGCACUCUCGGCUCAUGUGUCCCGGUUGGCCACAUCGGUAACACCGCCCCUCCCGCUGCGGGCAAUUGCUGGCCCUAUGCUCUUCGCCGCAUAUCACGCACGGGUAGGUAAGCUGGCCCUGUGUCUGACUCCUACCUCCCCGCCACUGUGAUCGCUGAGGUCGCGGGGGUCGCUUAGAACUCGACUGACCCGCCGAUCCACCAGCAGGUCGCUUCUUAGCCUUCUCCCUUUCCUUAUCCUUCUCAAAUGCCUCGCGUUCGUCACGCGCAAUGGCAUUUCCGCGCUCCACCCAAAGCGCGCGGUCAAGAACCUCCUCAUAGGUCUUCAAGCGGAAUGCAUGAAUGACCUUGAAAAUCUCGGGUCGCAACCCGCGCUCAAAUACCUCCGCUCGGUCCCUAUCGCUGUGAACCAAGUCUGGCACGCAGUUAAUCAUGUGCGUGAACUCCCUUUCGUACUCCCGCACCGUUCGGCUUCCUUGCCUUAGUUUUCGAAAAUCCUCCUUGAUUUUCCUUUUGUCACUCUCGGGGAAAUACUCCAUAAGCAGCAUCUCCCGAAACGCCUCCCAAGUGAGAAGAGUGUGCCCUAGCGAGCGAUUCUUCUUCGUUUGAUUCCACCACAACCGAGUCGACCCAUCCAAACAAUGAGCCGCCAGGUGAACUUUAUCCUUCUCGAGGGUAUAGAUAUCCUCGAACAACGCCUCCAUCGCGGCCAACCAAUUCUCCGUCACCCACGGAUCCUUCACAUCGCCGUUGAAGGUCGGAGGGUUGAACCGCUUGAAUGCCGUCAGCGCCACCAACGUACGCUCCUGCUCGACCUCGAGCACAUCGAAAAUAGGAACCGAUGAACCCGAUGCCGCCGGAGGAACAGGCGUCACUGGCGCUGCCGCCACCGCAGGAGGUGGUGCUACAGGGGCAGCCGGUGGGGGUGGAUCCCUCGGCACUGAUGCCGCCGCCGCCUGUUGCGCCAUCAUCUCGUGGAGCUGUCCAAUCUGCUCCCCUUGUUGUCGCAUAGCCCCGGCCAAAGCCGCUACCUGGGCUCGCAACUCGCAUACUUCGUCCGACCUCGACUGCUCGGGCUCCUCCCGAGGCUCCGCCCGUGUGGACCUCGUAACUUUCCUUGGUGGUGCCAUCGCGUCCUGUAACGCAAUGCACACACAUUAGCACUCGACACACGUGACCCUUACACGUUCCAAGUUGCUACCCAAUUAAGCGAAAGCACAAGCCUAAUUAUUUUCACUCUCGGUGUUAUGUGGUCGGCCGCCCCACAAGGUUCUUUAAGUAGACAACAAUUAAGCCUCCUAGUCCAUCUCUACUUCCUUCUAGAGAACUGUUACUACUGACCCAAUUAUUUGCUUUCGCAUAAACCAAGUCCACGUUAAACGUUUCCUAAACCCCUAAGGUCUACAAUUUCCUAGGGUUUCUAGGUCAUCCCUAGACUUUUGCUUUCCGCUUCGCUCUGAUACCAUUAUAUCUGUCACGCCCCAAUCCCCACCAAUUUGGUUGGGUUCGGGUCACGUCAACAGACGCCGAACGGACAGAGCCUCCCCUGUCCGCCCAAGGCUCUAACAACAUGUAUAAAUAGGCAAUCAACAAGAGAUUUGCAUAUAUAAUACAAGGCUUGCACGAGGGCAAGCAACAACGAAAGCGAAAUCUCUAAGUUAAUUAAGCAACAUACAUGAUAUUUGAUUACAUUUAAACCAAAUUCAAGUAAAACUAUUACAUUUUUCCAUCAUAUCUUUUUACAUUUAGUCAUCCACCAAAUACAUGAUUGAUUACACUUUGCAUCUCUAAAUCAACAAAAUAAAGUUGAUACAUGUAUAUCAAAAAGGAAUGACUACAAAAUGUAUAGUCCCGGUGGCCGCUACCUACGGCGCCAAACCCUUGCCUCGGUCCUCCGCUGCCCCGCUCGUGCCAGGACCUGUAGGGUUAGUGGUGUGAGAACUACAACGAAGUUUCUAGUGGGUUCGGCAUCCGACCUCGCCGACUUACCCACUAGGUCUAUCCAGGCAUAAGUAUUUCAAGGAAAGAAAAGUAACCGGUACUAAUGCAUCUAAUACUAUGCCUGCAGAAGAAUAUCAGUGGAUUCAAAUACUCAAUGCGAUAAUAGAAAAUGCAUGCAUGCUCAAAUCACAAAUAAGCUUUGGCUCUUACCCAAUCUUACUGGUUAACCUUGUUAACCCCAAUAACUCACCACUCAAAAUCCCUUAAUAGCGGGGGACUCGAACCUCCCUAGGGACCGUCAUCUGGGGGACUUUACCACGCCCAGUGGUGACCAACUCCGGAGCGCACCGCUCGAGGGGGAGCGACCUCCCUCAAGCCAAGACGAAAUGUGAGUAUUGAUCUAAUCCUCAACUUGAGGAUUCAUAGCCACUAGUCACAAUGCCAAUGUCAUGAUAGGUCGCUACCUAUUCAUUCUUGCCACUCUCAAGGCUUUACCUUUGACAAUGUCACAAUUGGUUAAACUAUGUUUAACGGUUCAUCUCUCAAUGCCAAUUUUGUUUCUAUGUCAAUGUCACCAUUGUUUUCUAUUGUCCAAGUCCAACCUCACAUUCACACAACUUGAGGGUCCGAUCACACAUGUCCAUUUUGGUUCUAUCAUCCGCUAUGUUCAACUACGUUAGAAGUAUAUAAAUGAAGUCAAACCAAGUUCCACAUGUAUCUACCCUACUAUGCAUGAAUGGGUAUAUAUAAACAUAUAUGCUCAAGAAUAGAGAAAACAGACAUAGAAGGGAAUUCAACGAUUCCCGCGUGCACCCCCCACCUCUAUUGGUCGUGUGGGUGUAGAAUAUGAAGGCUCCCGCACUUUACGAAAGCCGAUUCCGCGCCCUAUAAUCAAAAUAGUGCCAUAUUAGGCCCCUUUGUACAUGAGCUAUACUCUAACAUUUUCGCAACGUUAAACGGAGUUGUCCAACGUGUUUAGGGCACCCCCAAUUAGGUUUCUACGGGGUUAAUUUGUCCCCGAAAAAUUCUAAGGCAAAAGCCCCAAUUUUCAAGCCCUAAUUUUGUCAUUUAGGGUUUUCCCAUGAAUCGAUCCCAAUCCUAAGCAAACAAUAGUUUAGAAUCAUCUAAGAAGCACUCUAGUAAGGUUUUUAGACCCUUGGUACCAACCCUAGGGCUCCAAACACCACUUCCAAGGAUUCACCAUGAGAGCACUUUGAGCUCUCAUGGGUACCAUGGUAUACAUGGCUCAAAAGAGCCUCUAAAGCCUCUAAGGAGCACAAAGCUCCAAAUCCCUAACCCAAAAUCCAAAUCCUAGAGGAAAACCUUACAAAACUUACCUCUAGUCCAAGCUCCCCCAAGAUCUUUCUUGUUGGAGAGCUUCUAGAACCUCCAAGGCGCCAAAUCCACCUUCUUCUCCAAGUUCUUCUUCUUCUUGUAAUAUACCGAAAAUUCGGAAAAUAAAUAUCGAACUUUAGUCAAAUUGACCAAAGUGCGAGGAUGGUACACUUCGGAAAGUCCGAAGGUGUUAAAACGAUCAAAAGUGUGUUGUGGAAGGUUUUCGAGAGCUAAAGAAUCAAAUUCAGCAAAACUGCAGAUUUUCAGCUCUCGGGGACCGGUCCCUGGUGGGAGAGACCGGUUCCCGAACGCGUAAGUAAUGAGACAACCGAAAAAAUGGCUAAGUCCUGAGAAAUUAGCUCUCGGGAACCGGUCCCUGCCUGAGAGACCGGUCCCCGAGAGACCGGUCCCCCAAAGAGAGACCGGUUGCCCUGCGCGCAGCAGCUCUGGCUGCGCGGGGAGAGCCUUCGGGAACCGGUCCCUGAAGGAGAGACCGGUCCCCGGCUGCGCGAACUGCCCAGUUCGAGCAGUGUAUUAAAGUGAAAGUUGAGGGGUUUAUUUGCAAUUAUGCAACCCAAUAGCUAUGUUAUGAGGACUAAUGAAAUUUUCUCUCAUUCUCACCCUCUCAAACACUCUCUUCUCUCCCUCUCUCUCUCUAGAAGGCAAAGGAGAAGAAGAAAGAAAGAAAGAAAGGAAGGACGGAAAAGAAGGGAAAGAAGGUGAAGAAGAAGAUCAAGAGGUGAAGCAACUUCAUUUUCUUCCUCUCUAGUGCAAGAAAGGAAAGCUUAUAAGGUGAGCUUUGAACCCUAUUGUAGUAAAACCCUAAAAUUUGCUUUGAAUAAACCUAGAAAUGGUUUUAAUGGAUUGUUUAGAGUCUUUGAAGCUUUCUUUUUGCUUCUUUAGAGAUCAAAGCCAUGGUUUAGCUUGAGGUGAGCUUUGGCCACCUCUAAUGGUGAAAUCCAAACUAGGGUUUGGAAUGAGCUAGGAAUGGUUUAGAUGAACUCUUUAGAGUAUAUUGAAGCUACUUUUGCUUCCCAAUGAGAGCAAACCCUAGGUUUGAUAUAUGUAUUGGAGCUAGGGCACCAAAUUGGGGCUUUUGCUCAUGGGGAUUUUUAAGUGCAAUUGACCCUCUAAAAACCUAAUUGGGGGUAUUUCCGACGCGUUGGUGCGCUCGGAUUAACGUUACGAAAAGUCUAUAGAAAGAUAUGGGAAAAAUGGCCUAAGUUGGCUUCGUUUUGCCGCAGGUGAAGAACGAGGAGCCUAUAAAUCUCAAGAAAAAUCAUUGGAGCACCUAAAUAGACCUACAAGGUGGGUGGUGCUUCUCAAACUCAUUGAACUUCUCUCUAUGCCUAAUGUGUCAUUCAUUUGAGCAUGUAUAUAUAUUGUUGCAUGCAUUUUAGGGUAAAGUAAUG
rnacentral:lncRNA from 1 species